GAGCGCCUACGGGGGGCAGCAGUGGGGAAUAUUGCGCAAUGGGGGAAACCCUGACGCAGCAACGCCGCGUGCGGGAUGAAGGCUUUCGGGUUGUAAACCGCUUUCAGCAGGGAAGAUAAUGACGGUACCUGCAGAAGAAGCCCCGGCUAACUACGUGCCAGCAGCCGCGGCAAUACGUAGGGGGCAAGCGUUAUCCGGAUUCAUUGGGCGUAAAGCGCGCGCAGGCGGGCCGCUAAGCGCGAAGUCUAAUCUUGGGG
rnacentral:rRNA from 1 species